CUGCGCCCAUGGACGUCGCCGUUCCGUCCCGUGACGAUCCAGCCGCUCGCUGGUUGCAGCCAAUACCUUGUCAGGUCGAUCCAUGAGAAUUGGUUCUGCGCAAGAUGCAUGAGCGCAUCAAAUUCUGCUGGUGAAGGGGCUUUUGUCAUGCAGACGACGGCUUUCAUCUUGGUGGCACUGUGAGCAUAGAUGUUGACAGACAGAAUUGGUUUAGGACUAUAUAACGAAAGCAUACCAUGCAGUUUUAAGCAAUCAGAUAUUGCAGAUAAUGCUUCAGCAUGCAUCUCCCUCAUCUGUGAGAGGUAUGAUGGUUCAAUUGGAGUGGCAUCGGGUGCUGUAAUGGCUGCUGAUCAAUUUGCAUGGUAGUGAAAUCAAAGAAACCUUUGACCUUGCAGUGAAGUUGAAAUUGUAUGGUUCGUCCGCAGACUCUUUCCCUACCUGUCUGAGCCAAAUACUGGCAGAUGGAGAUCCUGAUAAGCCAGUGAAUCCAUUCAGCAAAUCUGUCAUUGAUGACGAGGAGAUCAUCUUUCUUGCUAACCUGCAAGUUCGUCACUGCUAGGCUCAGAAUGUUUGAACAAGACAAACUCCAGGAGGGUCAGCGGUUUUUGGCAAAAUUUUUCCAGCAACUAGUAUUCACAGGCGCUGGACUUUGAUUAAGAUGCAUUAGGUAGAGGACUCUCUGAGUUGAAAAUCAUGUGAGAUCGUUGGUCUGCUAUUUGCUAUUUGGCCAUGCUGGUAUUGGGUGAAGGUCUUGCUGGUGUCUGCAUUGUGAUUUUCCUUUGAACAAAGAUCGUUAUAUAAGGUUGUUCAGCCAGCUUAUUAAUGUCAUCAUUUUUAUAACUGGAUUCAU